rnacentral:tRNA from 1 species
CAACAUGUAGCUUAACUAAAGCAUCUCGCUUACACCGAGAAAAUAUCUGUGAAACUCAGAUCAUCUUGA